rnacentral:rRNA from 1 species
GAUGAACGCUGGCGGCGUGCCUAAUACAUGCAAGUCGAGCGAACGGACGAGAAGCUUGCUUCUCUGAUGUUAGCGGCGGACGGGUGAGUAACACGUGGAUAACCUACCUAUAAGACUGGGAUAACUUCGGGAAACCGGAGCUAAUACCGGAUGAUAUUUUGAACCGCAUGGUUCAAAAGUGAAAGACGGUCUUGCUGUCACUUAUAGAUGGAUCCGCGCUGCAUUAGCUAGUUGGUAAGGUAACGGCUUACCAAGGCAACGAUGCAUAGCCGACCUGAGAGGGUGAUCGGCCACACUGGAACUGAGACACGGUCCAGACUCCUACGGGAGGCAGCAGUAGGGAAUCUUCCGCAAUGGGCGAAAGCCUGACGGAGCAACGCCGCGUGAGUGAUGAAGGUCUUCGGAUCGUAAAACUCUGUUAUUAGGGAAGAACAUAUGUGUAAGUAACUGUGCACAUCUUGACGGUACCUAAUCAGAAAGCCACGGCUAACUACGUGCCAGCAGCCGCGGUAAUACGUAGGUGGCAAGCGUUAUCCGGAAUUAUUGGGCGUAAAGCGCGCGUAGGCGGUUUUUUAAGUCUGAUGUGAAAGCCCACGGCUCAACCGUGGAGGGUCAUUGGAAACUGGAAAACUUGAGUGCAGAAGAGGAAAGUGGAAUUCCAUGUGUAGCGGUGAAAUGCGCAGAGAUAUGGAGGAGCACCAGUGGCGAAGGCGACUUUCUGGUCUGUAACUGACGCUGAUGUGCGAAAGCGUGGGGAUCAAACAGGAUUAGAUACCCUGGUAGUCCACGCCGUAAACGAUGAGUGCUAAGUGUUAGGGGGUUUCCGCCCCUUAGUGCCGCAGCUAACGCAUUAAGCACUCCGCCUGGGGAGUACGACCGCAAGGUUGAAACUCAAAGGAAUUGACGGGGACCCGCACAAGCGGUGGAGCAUGUGGUUUAAUUCGAAGCAACGCGAAGAACCUUACCAAAUCUUGACAUCCUUUGACAACUCUAGAGAUAGAGCCUUCCCCUUCGGGGGACAAAGUGACAGGUGGUGCAUGGUUGUCGUCAGCUCGUGUCGUGAGAUGUUGGGUUAAGUCCCGCAACGAGCGCAACCCUUAAGCUUAGUUGCCAUCAUUAAGUUGGGCACUCUAAGUUGACUGCCGGUGACAAACCGGAGGAAGGUGGGGAUGACGUCAAAUCAUCAUGCCCCUUAUGAUUUGGGCUACACACGUGCUACAAUGGACAAUACAAAGGGCAGCGAAACCGCGAGGUCAAGCAAAUCCCAUAAAGUUGUUCUCAGUUCGGAUUGUAGUCUGCAACUCGACUACAUGAAGCUGGAAUCGCUAGUAAUCGUAGAUCAGCAUGCUACGGUGAAUACGUUCCCGGGUCU